rnacentral:pre_miRNA from 1 species
AAUAAACCAAUAUUUCACUUUUAACUUAUAAUGUAUGAUUCUUCGUCUUAUUUGAAAAAAUUUUACGAUUAAUAUUUUUUAUUAGAUGAUAAAUUGUGAAUAGUAUUUUAUGUGUGACUAUUUUUUUAAAAUUUCUUGAAUUUUUUUAAAUAAGACGAAUAGUCAAAUGCUGGACACGCAAACCUAAAGUUUGUCUUAUU